CCGAGGUGCGCGGAGCGGCCCCGCGCCGCCCGACGGCCGGCUCGGCGGGGCUGCGGGCCGCCGGGGGAGGGGGCCGGCCCGAGGAAGGUGUUUGUGUUCCUUUCUUACAUUCUUUCCCCCCCUUUUUAUUAUUAUUAUUAUUAUUGUUUCGGUCUGAGUUGGAAUAAAUGGGAAAUGUCUCGCGUAUUUUACGCACGGAAAGCGGUAGCUAACGAGGCUGCUGCGACGGGCCAGUAACGGGAAGGGAGGUGGGAGAUUGACAGCAUUGGGAGAGGCAUUUUUUAAGCUCUUGCUUUCCAGCUACCACAGCCCACGCUACCUGGGAAAUACUUGAAUCUCUCUAGGUGUAGGAUGUUGUCCUGAAGCAUUUACUUUACAGACACUUUGCUAAAUUUGAUUUUUUUCUCUUAGCGUGUUUCUCUUCUUUGGGUAAAACGGCUCUCGGAUUUAUUUCUCACACAUCUCUGUCGCGCCUUUGCCUCUGAAAAGCCACCGCUGGGUAACUGAGACCUGCUAUACCAAACCACUGCUACUGGAGGGACUUCCUUGAACUUGAAGAAAGGCACAUCAAAAACCACCAGUGUUACUGCCAUGUCAAUUUUGAUGCUAAUAAUGUGCAGAUUAUGACGAAAAUUGCCAAUCAUGUUCUCUGAUGGACCUCCUUUGAAUGUGGAAUUGGAAAAAAGUUCCCCGCACAGAGACCUGCUGUCAAGUACUAACAACCCGCUAAGGGAAGUCAUUAGAAGAGACAGAUAAGAGACUUGAGUUCACAACAGCAGUAGCUGAGCUGCAGCCUGAUUUAUACUUCUGGAAUGGAGGCCGUGAGACCAUCAGGCUUUCAAUUCAAUCUAUUCCAGUUUGUAAUGAUUUCCCUAAAAGGAGCCAGUUUUUGGUAUGCAGCAGGUGUCUACUUGCAAACUGAAAUUAAGUGAUGUACAGCUAUGUGUGCUUUGGUACAUAGCCACAAUGGGAUGGAAGAUUAAAUAUGCCACAUCAAGAAUUAUCUCAGCAUC
rnacentral:lncRNA from 1 species